rnacentral:rRNA from 1 species
GGAAAAAUGAAUUCGGGCUCGGCCCGAUCCUCCCACCCUUUGUGUACCUACCUCUGUUGCUUUGGCGGGCCGCGGUCCUCCGCGGCCGCCCCCCUCCCCGGGGGGGUGGCCAGCGCCCGCCAGAGGACCAUCAAACUCCAGUCAGUAAACGAUGCAGUCUGAAAAACAUUUAAUAAACUAAAACUUUCAACAACGGAUCUCUUGGUUCUGGCAUCGAUGAAGAACGCAGCGAAAUGCGAUAAGUAAUGUGAAUUGCAGAAUUCAGUGAAUCAUCGAAUCUUUGAACGCACAUUGCGCCCUUUGGUAUUCCGAAGGGCAUGCCUGUUCGAGCGUCAUUACAACCCUCAAGCUCUGCUUGGUAUUGGGCACCGUCCUUUGCGGGCGCGCCUCAAAGACCUCGGCGGUGGCGUCUUGCCUCAAGCGUAGUAGAACAUACAUCUCGCUUCGGAGCGCAGGGCGUCGCCCGCCGGACGAACCUUCUGAACUUUUCUCAAGGUUGACCUCGGAUCAGGUAGGGAUACCCGCUGAACUUAAGCAUAUCAUAAGACCGGAGGAA